rnacentral:rRNA from 1 species
UACGAAGGGGGCUAGCGUUGCUCGGAAUCACUGGGCGUAAAGGGUGCGUAGGCGGGUCUUUAAGUCAGGGGUGAAAUCCUGGAGCUCAACUCCAGAACUGCCUUUGAUACUGAAGAUCUUGAGUUCGGGAGAGGUGAGUGGAACUGCGAGUGUAGAGGUGAAAUUCGUAGAUAUCGGAAGAACACCAGUGGCGAAGGCGGCUCACUGGGACGACUGAUGACGCUGAGGUGCGAAAGCGUGGGGAGCAAACAGG